AUCGUGAGCUUCUAGAGGUGAGUCUUGUGUGGGGUCAGGUCCGCAAAGUAUAGAAUUUUUUCCCAGGCUGAUCAUAUCCAGUAUUUCAUCUUAACUCGCUUUGAGUCCUCCUCCUACACCUUUACAUGGACCCCGGCCUGAUCGGGACAUACAUAUCACCACGAGCUCCAUAGUGAGGACUAUCUUGUUCAGACAUAGAGGGCGUGGGCAUUCCAUCCUGAGCCUGUCUCGGAUUUCUUUUCCCAUAGGCCUCCUAAGCCAGAAGUGGGCCCGGUGCUCCGGUUAACCCCAUUCGGAUGACCCUGGUUGUCGGAUGGUGCGUGAGUCAAAACAGGAGUGUCCAGUGUGCCAAAGAAAAAAAACCUUUCUUGCUAGGCGGGUCUUGUCACUUUUACCUCUUCU